GCACUCUUGUUUCUCUUCAUAUCCUAUAAAUCUUUCGCCUUUUACUAAAGAUUUCCGUGGAGAGGAACAACAAGAGUUUAUCCCACUUUUUUGAUGCCCUACCGCGAGGUGGGGCG